UUAUCGCUUACAUCUGUCGAUGAAUAAUAUUUUACAAGCAUUGUGUGAUUGUCACAUUCCUCAUCGAAGGUAAGAAGCAACCAGACUGAUCGUAAAUGAGAGGAAGCGGGUCAUUAAGACGGGCUAUAGAGAAAGAGAGGACUACACAAUCAAAAACUAAUAUCAGUCCUCCAUGAUCAAUGCUAAGAAUACUUCGGAUAACAUGAAGAACCAAAAUUCGAACGUGUUGGGACACAACCCUCGCUAUUCUACGGUCCACGUUGUCGUUCAUAUCAGAUCGGCCGUCGACCAAAUGAUUAAGCCAA